UUAUUAUUAUUAUUAUUUAAAUAAAAUUACUGUUUAGGAAUUUUUAAUAAAUAUUUUAACAUUGGAUUCCUAUCUUUACAGCUCAUGUCUCUCUCAUCACUCUCCCUCACGUUUCCUAUCUCCCACACGUUUCCUCUCUCAUUAAAGGCACUCACCUCACUAUACAGUACUCUCUCCCUCUCCUUCUUCCAAGGACACACACACGCAACUCUAUUCAUUUUCUCUCUGCUGGAAAUCACCUUUCAUAAC
rnacentral:lncRNA from 1 species